rnacentral:rRNA from 1 species
UACGUAGGUGGCAAGCGUUGUCCGGAUUUAUUGGGUUUAAAGGGUGCGUAGGCGGCCCUGUAAGUCAGUGCUGAAAUAUCCCGGCUUAACCGGGAGGGUGGCAUUGAUACUGCGGGGCUAGAGUACAGAUGAGGUAGGCGGAAUUGACGGUGUAGCGGUGAAAUGCGUAGAGAUCGUAAGGAAGACCAGUGGCGAAGGCGGGUCUCUGGACAGUUCCUGACACUGAGGCACGAAGGCCAGGGGAGCAAACGGG